GAUGAACGCUGGCGGCGUGCCUAAUACAUGCAAGUCGAGCGAGCGGACGAGAAGCUUUCUUCUCUGAUGUUAGCGGCGGACGGGUGAGUAACACGUGGAUAACCUACCUAUAAGACUGGGAUAACUUCGGGAAACCGGAUCUAAUACCGGAUGAUAUUUUGAACCGCAUGGUUCAAAAGUGAAAGACGGUCUUGCUGUCACUUAUAGAUGGAUCCGCGUUGCAUUAGCUAGUUGGUAAGGUAACGGCUUACCAAGGCAACGAUGCAUAGCCGACCUGAGAGGGUGAUCGGCCACACUGGAACUGAGACACGGUCCAGACUCCUACGGGAGGCAGCAGUAGGGAAUAUUCCGCAAUGGGCGAAAGCCUGACGCAGCAACGCCGCGUGAGUGAUGAAGGUCUUCGGAUCGUAAAACUCUGUUAUUAGGGAAGAACAUAUGUGUAAGAAACUGUGCACAUCUUGACGGUACCUAAUCAGAAAGCCACGGCUAACUACGUG
rnacentral:rRNA from 1 species